rnacentral:rRNA from 1 species
GAUGAACGCUGGCGGCGUGCCUAAUACAUGCAAGUCGAGCGAACGGACUAGUAGCUUUAUUCUCUCUUGUUUGCGGCGGACGUGCGUGUAACGUAUGCAUACUCCACGUAUCAGACUGGGAUCACUUCGAAAAACCGGUUCUCCUUCCAUAUAAUCUUUUGAACCCAUUUGUUCAAAAUUGAACGACGGUCUUUCUGUCAUUUAUAUACGGAUCCGCGCUGCAUUAGCUAGUUGGUAAGGUAACGGCUCACCAAGGCAACGAUGCAUAGCCGAGCUGAGAGGGUGAUCGGCAACACUGGAACUGAGACACGGUCCAGACGCAUACGGGAGGCAGCAGUAGGGAAUCUUCCGCAAUGGGCGAAAGCCUGACGGAGCAACGCAGCGUGAGUGAUGAAGGUCUUCGGAUCGUAAAACUCUGUUAUUAGGGAAGAACAUAUGUGUAAGUAACUGUGCACAUCUUGACAGUACCUAAUCAGAAAGCCACGGCUAACUACGUG